rfam:Zancudomyces culisetae strain COL-18-3 scaffold-1682, whole genome shotgun sequence.
GGUGACUUGCCCGAGUGGUCCAAGGGGUCAGGUUUAGGCCCUGAUAUGUUCGCAUGCGUGGGUUCGAACCCCACAGUCAUCA